CUGAGGGGGCCGCGGGGCCGGGGCAGCCCUUGAGGCCGAAACCAGCAGAACCUCAGCAAAGCAAUCCCUGUGCACUGAGAGCGUUUCCUUGAAGGACAUUCCCCGUUAUCUCCCUGAGUCACACUGAGGGCCAAGUGACAUGGCAAGUCCUCUUGAAGAGGUGCGAUGGAAGGAGGUCUGUGGAGGCAGCCAGCUCACAGCAGUGGCAGCUUUUAACUGCAAGGACUGCCGGGAUGCAGUGGCCAACAAAUCCGCCUUAAGCAGGACGCUCGUGUGCAGGAUGGAUGAACUCCAGCCUUGGUCCCAAUGGGGAGACUCCAAGUCUGUGCCUCACUGAACCCCUGAACCUACAGACUCUCAACUCAUCAUUGGGAAGAGCUGCAGAUGCUCUGUCAAGGUAAUGCUUGGAAGUAAAAGCUCAGGGUUUUUUCAAGUUUUAAAUAAGAAAAAUUUGCUUAAAUGCUGGAAAAUAAUAGCAGCGUGACUAAUUUUGAAAGCCUGGUAUAGACAUUAGUGAAAUCCUACAUAUCCUUCUGUGGACAAUCAAGAGUCAGUGAGCAUAGGAACUUCCUGAAGGAGACUGAUUCUUGGUAGAAAGGGGAAGAACUGGAUGUGAUAACUGGUGAUAGACAAAUUUCAGAAGGUUCAGGGCUUGUGCUUGUUUUGGAUAACCAUCCAGGAGCUUUGAUGCAUAUUCAAAGCUUAUCUGGACCUCCUGGGCCUGUAAAUACUGGGAUGGGAAUCUUGCAAGAACAGGCUCUCUCAAGAGGUUUUUUCUCUUUUGGUAUUUUGGGCAAGUAUUUUCUUGUCACGCUGUAGAUACAACAAAAAUAGUAAUAACAAGACAUAAGACCUGUUCUUAAAGAGUACUUCAUCAAGUCUAAAUCAAGAAUAAAUAUAAAAGCUUCUCUUAAAAUGCUUUCCUCAUCUCCAGACAUUCUUGUGGUUAAGAGGGACAAACUUUUAAAGUAAAUGGGGACAAAUAUGUACCAGUUCUUUCUGGGAAGAAAGCUUCCCAGAAGCUUAACUGUGCUACAGGACCUUUUGAGUUGGGUACUUUUGUCAUUUAAUCCACUUUAGCAGAGUUGCUUUUAUGUAUAACAUAUGUAAUAACAGUGCUGCCUUUUUGGAUAAAUGAGAAGUAGAUCAAGGUAGCAGGAAUUCUGGCAUCUUCUGAAAUGCUGUUUGUGUGUAUGGCCAUUAAAUGAAAGAAACUCUACCUUUCAAAGGCCAGGCUAUCCAUGAAAUAUCAUGUAUGUUUGACAAAGUUUUUAUUUGUGUAUGUUCCUAUGUACAUUUUCCUAGUUGUCCAUAGGCACUAAGGAAAUUAUAGCUGCUGAACUGUUUCAAUUGUUGUUAUAGAGGAGUGUUUUUGGUUUACUCACUAAA